CCACCACCAAAGCAUUUGCUGUACCGCGUUGACGGAGCGAAGCGACGUCAAACCGAUAAAACAGCAGUGUAAAGUGAGCCGCAGGGCGCUUUGCGCGACAGCGCAAAGGCAGGCGGUUUCGCGUAGCGAAAGCGAAUGCUUUGGGGUGGGGUGACUGCGUACCUUUUGUAUAAUGGGUCAGCGACUUAUAUUCUGUAGCAAGGUUAACCGAAUAGGGGAGCCGGAGGGAAACCGAGUCUUAACCGGGCGUUAAGUUGCAGGGUAUAGACCCGAAACCCGGUGAUCUAGCCAUGGGCAGGUUGAAGGUUGGGUAACACUAACUGGAGGACCGAACCGACUAAUGUUGAAAAAUUAGCGGAUGACCUGUGGCUGGGGGUGAAAGGCCAAUCAAACCGGGAGAUAGCUGGUUCUCCCCGAAAGCUAUUUAGGUAGCGCCUCGUGAAUUCAUCUCCGG
rnacentral:rRNA from 1 species